rnacentral:rRNA from 1 species
AGAGUUUGAUUAUGGCUCAGGAUGAACGCUAGCUACAGGCUUAACACAUGCAAGUCAGGGGCAUCAUGAUCAAAGUUGCUUGAUUGAUGGCGACCGGCGCACGGGUGAGUAACGCGUAUCCAACCUUCCCCCCAGUAGGGCAUAGCCCGGCGAAAGUCGGAUUAAUACCCUAUGUUUUCCAAUGAGGACAUCUGAGCUGGAACAAAGAUUUAUCGCUGGGGGGAUGGGGAUGCGUCCGAUUAGGUUGUUGGCGGGGUAACGGCCCACCAAGCCCGCGAUCGGUAGGGGUUCUGAGAGGAAGGUCCCCCACACUGGUACUGAGACACGGACCAGACUCCUACGGGAGGCAGCAGUGAGGAAUAUUGGUCAAUGGGCGUAAGCCUGAACCAGCCAAGUAGCGUGCAGGACGACGGCCCUAUGGGUUGUAAACUGCUUUUAUGCGGGGAUAAAGUGAGGUAUGUAUACCUUUUUGUAGGUACCGCAUGAAUAAGGACCGGCUAAUUCCGUGCCAGCAGCCGC